UCCGUUGAUAGACCAUGUAAUUUGAGUUAUUUUAAAGUCCUUUACUUACAAUUAUAUGUAAAAAGACUAUAUAUAGAACAAACAUUAAGCUCUGAGAAUCAGACAUUUCACCCUCAAUACUAUUUGUGCAAAGUAAAGCCCAAUACAGUCUUUGCAUCUAAGAAUCAGAUCCUUAGCUAAAGUUCACUGUGCAAUUUCCCCUCAGUAAUACGUGACUGCAAUAAGCUCAGUUUCUCUGCUUGCAUAUUGCCUGAAUGCUUUGUCCAAUAUUAACUGUGUGAAAUGCAUGAUUCUUGAUGUUAAAUGCCAGCAUUAGUUCCGUUUUUCGACCUGCAAUGAACUAGCUGCAUGUAGUGUAUGUUUAAGGUUAGUUCACACCUAAUGUCAUACAAUAUACCAAAAUCGGUGAAACACCUGCUUCACCCCAUUUUAUAUUUAGUUUAAUGGCACCACUUCGCCUUGGUGGAAGUAAGAGGACAUAUGCGGAGUAUGCAGAGCCAAAUCCAGCAACGGAUUGCUUAAAGUUGUUCGAUGAUGUUGACGAUUCUCGAGGUCUACCUCAGACUUGGACUAUAAUUGUAAGGAUAGAUGUUAAAUUCCCUAUGGAGCCUAGGUAUCAUGAUAAGCAACACUUCAUCCUUGUCGACACCACUGGUUCCAAAAUUGAAGCAAUUUCAUAUGGCAAUAACGUCCAUCGAUUUGACACACUACUUCAGCAAGGAUGCAAGUACAUUUUGAAAGAUGUAGUUUUUGGGCCAAACUGGGGGGACCUUGAAUUCAGAAAUAUUGGGCAUCGGUUUGAGGUGACAUUGACCAGAAAAACUCGUGUUGAGCCAUACACCUUCCGACUUCAGUUCCCUCCCUGCCCAAAGCAUCUUAUGCCAUUUCAUGAAGUGAUCCGACAACCCAACAAGACAUUUAUGUUAUGGGAAUAGUUGUCCAUAUGGAGCCAUUGGAGCAUGUGGGCAACAGGCUAUAUAGAGAGGUUGUGUUAAUGGAUGCAAGGUGGCACCUUAUUAUUGUUGGGAUUUGGAGUGACCUCUUCUGCCGGAAUUUUCAACGAUGGUACAAAGCUAGAGAUGAAAAGGAAAUUAUAAUUGCCACUAUGCUGCGACGAAACUCUACACACAGAUGCUUGGAGAGCUCAGACCACACAUCACUGGACUUCAACCCAAGACAUCACACAUGGCAUCAACUAGCAACUGUUCGGCGAAUAAUGAUGGAAAGGCAGAAUCUUCGCUUCGUUAACAGAUAUCUUGAAGCAAGAUGGGCAUACUUGGCGACCGUGUUACCACACUGAUCGAUCUGGGAAUCAAGGAAAAUUAGAUGUAGGGUCAUUAGGAAGUGUUUCUAGAUUGUUUGUCACUAGACUAUUUAUCACUGCUAUGUUUUCGAAAUUUGUAUUAAUGU